GAUGAACGCUGGCGGCGUGCCUAAUACAUGCAAGUCGAGCGAACGGACGAGAAGCUUGCUUCUCUGAUGUUAGCGGCGGACGGGUGAGUAACACGUGGAUAACCCACCUAUAAGACUGGGAUAACUUCGGGAAACCGGAGCUAAUACCGGAUAAUAUUUUGAACCGCAUGGUUCAAAAGUGAAAGACGGUCUUGCUGUCACUUAUAGCUGGAUCCGCGCUGCAUUAGCUAGUUGGUAAGGUAACGGCUUACCAAGGCAACGAUGCAUAGCCGACCUGAGAGGGUGAUCGGCCACACUGGAACUGAGACACGGUCCAGACUCCUACGGGAGGCAGCAGUAGGGAAUCUUCCGCAAUGGGCGAAAGCCUGACGGAGCGACGCCGCGUGAGUGAUGAAGGUCUUCGGAUCGUAAAACUCUGUUAUUAGGGAAGAACAUAUGUGUAAGUAACUGUGCACAUCUUGACGGUACCUAAUCAGAAAGCCACGGCUAACUACGUG
rnacentral:rRNA from 1 species